rnacentral:rRNA from 1 species
GUUAGGAAUAUUGGACAAUGGGCGCAAGCCUGAUCCAGCCAUGCCGCGUGAGUGAUGAAGGCCUUCGGGUUGUAAAGCUCUUUAGUCCACGAAUAUAAUGACUGUAGUCGGAAAAUAAGCCCCGGCUAACUUCGUGCCAGCAGCCGCGGUAAUACGAAGGGGGCGAGCGUUAUUCGGAAUCACUGGGCGUAAAGCGUGCGUAGGCGGUUUUGUAAGUUAGGAGUGAAAGCCCAGGGCUCAACCCUGGAAUUGCUCUUAAAACUUCAAGGCUAGAAUGUCGGAGAGGAUAGCGGAAUUUCCAGGGUAGCAGUGAAAUGCGUAGAUAUUGGAAGGAACACCAGUGGCGUAAGCGGCUAUCUGGACGACUAUUGACGCUGAGGCACGAAAGCGUGGGGAUCAAACAGGAUUAGAUACCCUUGUAGUCC